UGGCACUUUCCUGACGAUGCUAAAACGAUGUGUUUAUGACCUUUCCAGAAGAUGAAAUGUAUAGUUAACUUGACAAAUGAUAGCUACCGAUAGCUACAGCUAAAUAGACAAAUAAACACCUACAGGAAAUGAGAAUCAUUAACUAUAUAUGCAAAGAGGAAGACCUCACCCGCCUUAAAGGAUAUGGGUGGCGAUUUUCUAUAUUUUUCUUAUUGUCAAGAGGUUUUAAUAUGUAGCACAACAAGCUAGCGAAGCAUCGUAAGCGGGCAUCUGCCUUACGGAGAACGAAAUGUGAUCGCUGUUAUUAUUCUCUGGAGCCGUUUCUAAACUAACUAACGUGCUCAAACUCUUCCUGAUGAAGGAAAUGUCAAUCAGUGCAGUGGUGUGGGAAUAAGAUAUAUCAGGCUCUGGAUACAAGAGAUCAAUUCAUUAUUGGUUUGGCUCUGCACAUGAGAUUUGUGGACAAUAAGAAACGUAUAGAAAAUUGGCAGCUAUAUCACAUUGAUCGCUGGAUCAACACAUCCUGGCGACUGUAUUUUGACUGUUCCUUCUGUUUGUAUGUCAGUACAAACUCAUGUCAUAUAACAUGACACGAUGCAGCCUGUUGCACUAUUAUAUUAGAUUGACAGGUGAACAAUGGGAGCAUAAAUCUCACAGAAAUAAGUGCAUAGCAACAUAGAGACAAAAUGAAAUAAAAUAAAGUCUCUUGGAUUACUACUUAAUGAGGGUUCAGCCUCUCUUGCCCACAAAGUUUCCAUCCAUCCAUCCCUGCCCACCUCCUCCUCCUGUUUUCUCCUCCUCUCGCCUGAAUCCCCGCACGCCUGUUUGUCACUUAAACGAAAGCUCACAAACUGACAGACCGAUAUCUGAGUCUUUAAAAUGAAACUACCAGCAAAUUAAUUUUUCAUCCUUUCUUAUCAGUGACUGAUGGGCCGCCGGGUCCCUCCAAAAAAAAAAAAAAAACCCUCUGUGUCCCCGCGGGCAACUCCUGCAGCCUGGGAACCAAGGUUUUCAUCCUAAACGGUGGUAAAUGGCUCGCCGCACAAAUAAUGCAUAAACAGCUGUUUUGCCCAACAUUUUGAACUGGAUCUGCUGCUCGGACCAGGCCAUCUCACACUGGAAUUCAGGUGGUUUGGGCCAAUGAAACUCUGCCUUUGAAAAAUGUUGGUAGAAAGCAGAUGGUGGACUUCCUUUCUGCACGUCAGACCGCUAAGGAGCCUGCGAGUCAGAGCCCAGGGAAAAUGAAUCCAAGAAUAUAAAACCCAUCUUUGAAUCUGUCCCCAGAUUCUGGGAGCCUUUCAAGUACACCAUCUAGAUUCAUUUACUUCCCCUUUUAUGUUAGAAAUUUGGUUUCAUCAUGGCAAUUAGCGCUUUUGUGUCUCGACCAAUUAU